CCCUUCGGGGUGUGACUGCGUACCUUUUGUAUAAUGGGUCAGCGACUUAUAUUCUGUAGCAAGGUUAACCGUAUAGGGGAGCCGGAGGGAAACCGAGUCUUAACCGGGCGUUAAGUUGCAGGGUAUAGACCCGAAACCCGGUGAUCUAGCCAUGGGCAGGUUGAAGGUUGGGUAACACUAACUGGAGGACCGAACCGACUAAUGUUGAAAAAUUAGCGGAUGACCUGUGGCUGGGGGUGAAAGGCCAAUCAAACCGGGAGAUAGCUGGUUCUCCCCGAAAGCUAUUUAGGUAGCGCCUCGUGAAUUCAUCUCCGGGGGUAGAGCACUGUUUCGGCUAGGGGGCCAUCCCGGCUUACCAACCCGAUGCAAACUGCGAAUACCGGAGAAUGUUAUCACGGGAGACACACGGCGGGUGCUAACGUCCGUCGUGAAGAGGGAAACAACCCAGACCGCCAGCUAAGGUCCCAAAGUCAUGGUUAAGUGGGAAACGAUGUGGGAAGGCCCAGACAGCCAGGAUGUUGGCUUAGAAGCAGCCAUCAUUUAAAGAAAGCGUAAUAGCUCACUGGUCGAGUCGGCCUGCGCGGAAGAUGUAACGGGGCUAAACCAUGCACCGAAGCUGCGGCAGCGAACGUAUCACCCAAGACAACUUUACGGAGUUGACGAUUGACGGAGCGAAGCGACGUCAAAGCGUUCAUUAAAGUCGAGUUGGCUUAGGGAUACGUUCGUUGGGUAGGGGAGCGUUCUGUAAGCCUGUGAAGGUGUGUCGUGAGGCAUGCUGGAGGUAUCAGAAGUGCGAAUGCUGACAUAAGUAACGAUAAAGCGGGUGAAAAGCCCGCUCGCCGGAAGACCAAGGGUUCCUGUCCAACGUUAAUCGGGGCAGGGUGAGUCGACCCCUAAGGCGAGGCCGAAAGGCGUAGUCGAUGGGAAACGGGUUAAUAUUCCCGUACUUGGUGUUACUGCGAAGGGGGGACGGAGAAGGCUAUGUUGGCCGGGCGACGGUUGUCCCGGUUUAAGCGUGUAGGUGUGUGUUCCAGGUAAAUCCGGUUCACUUUAACACUGAGGCGUGACGACGAGGCACUACGGUGCUGAAGCAACAAAUGCCCUGCUUCCAGGAAAAGCCUCUAAGCAUCAGGUAACACGAAAUCGUACCCCAAACCGACACAGGUGGUCAGGUAGAGAAUACCAAGGCGCUUGAGAGAACUCGGGUGAAGGAACUAGGCAAAAUGGUGCCGUAACUUCGGGAGAAGGCACGCUGACACGUAGGUGAAGUGAUUUACUCAUGGAGCUGAAGUCAGUCGAAGAUACCAGCUGGCUGCAACUGUUUAUUAAAAACACAGCACUGUGCAAACACGAAAGUGGACGUAUACGGUGUGACGCCUGCCCGGUGCCGGAAGGUUAAUUGAUGGGGUCAGCGUAAGCGAAGCUCCUGAUCGAAGCCCCGGUAAACGGCGGCCGUAACUAUAACGGUCCUAAGGUAGCGAAAUUCCUUGUCGGGUAAGUUCCGACCUGCACGAAUGGCGUAAUGAUGGCCAGGCUGUCUCCACCCGAGACUCAGUGAAAUUGAACUCGCUGUGAAGAUGCAGUGUACCCGCGGCAAGACGGAAAGACCCCGUGAACCUUUACUAUAGCUUGACACUGAACAUUGAGCCUUGAUGUGUAGGAUAGGUGGGAGGCUUUGAAGUGUGGACGCCAGUCUGCAUGGAGCCGACCUUGAAAUACCACCCUUUAAUGUUUGAUGUUCUAACGUGGACCCGUAAUCCGGGUUGCGGACAGUGUCUGGUGGGUAGUUUGACUGGGGCGGUCUCCUCCUAAAGAGUAACGGAGGAGCACGAAGGUUGGCUAAUCCUGGUCGGACAUCAGGAGGUUAGUGCAAUGGCAUAAGCCAGCUUGACUGCGAGCGUGACGGCGCGAGCAGGUGCGAAAGCAGGUCAUAGUGAUCCGGUGGUUCUGAAUGGAAGGGCCAUCGCUCAACGGAUAAAAGGUACUCCGGGGAUAACAGGCUGAUACCGCCCAAGAGUUCAUAUCGACGGCGGUGUUUGGCACCUCGAUGUCGGCUCAUCACAUCCUGGGGCUGAAGUAGGUCCCAAGGGUAUGGCUGUUCGCCAUUUAAAGUGGUACGCGAGCUGGGUUUAGAACGUCGUGAGACAGUUCGGUCCCUAUCUGCCGUGGGCGCUGGAGAACUGAGGGGGGCUGCUCCUAGUACGAGAGGACCGGAGUGGACGCAUCACUGGUGUUCGGGUUGUCAUGCCAAUGGCACUGCCCGGUAGCUAAAUGCGGAAGAGAUAAGUGCUGAAAGCAUCUAAGCACGAAACUUGCCCCGAGAUGAGUUCUCCCUGAGACUUAGAGUCUCCUGAAGGAACGUUGAAGACGACGACGUUGAUAGGCCGGGUGUGUAAGCGCAGCGAUGCGUUGAGCUAACCGGUACUAAUGAACCGUGAGGCUUAACCUUACAACGCCGAAG
rnacentral:rRNA from 1 species